rnacentral:rRNA from 1 species
AACGAACGCUGGCGGCAUGCCUAACACAUGCAAGUCGAACGAGACCUUCGGGUCUAGUGGCGCACGGGUGCGUAACGCGUGGGAACCUGCCCUUAGGUUCGGAAUAACUCCCCGAAAGGGGUGCUAAUACCGGAUAAUGUCUUCGGACCAAAGAUUUAUCGCCUUUGGAAGGGCCCGCGUUGGAUUAGCUAGUUGGUAGGGUAAAAGCCUACCAAGGCGACGAUCCAUAGCUGGUCUGAGAGGAUGAUCAGCCACACUGGGACUGAGACACGGCCCAGACUCCUACGGGAGGCAGCAGUGGGGAAUAUUGGACAAUGGGCGAAAGCCUGAUCCAGCAAUGCCGCGUGCGUGAUGAAGGCCUUAGGGUUGUAAAGCUCUUUUACCCGGGAUGAUAAUGACAGUACCGGGAGAAUAAGCUCCGGCUAACUCCGUG